rnacentral:snoRNA from 1 species
AGGUCUUUUCAAGGAGGGCUUGGGGUGGUGACUAUGAAUCAAAGAGCUCCUAAGGCUGUGACCAAAGAUUUAAAUUCACCACAGGAUGAGAAGAUAUACAA